rnacentral:rRNA from 1 species
CCUACGGGAGGCAGCAGUGGGGAAUAUUGCUCAAUGGGGGGAACCCUGAAGCAGCGACGCCGCGUGGGGGAUGAAGUACUUCGGUAUGUAAAGCCCUUUUUUUAGGGAAGAAAAUGACGGUAUCUGACUAAUAAGCACCGGCUAACUACGUGCCAGCAGCCGCGGUAAUACGUAGGGGGCAAGCGUUAUCCGGAUUCACUGGGCGUAAAGGGCGCGUAGGCGGGGUAGCAAGUCAGAUGUGAAAUCCUAUGGCUUAACCCUAGAACUGCAUUUGAAACUGUCAUGCUAGAGUAGGGGAGGGGUAAGUGGAAUUCCUGGUGUAGCGGUAAAAUGCGUAGAGAUCAAGAGGAAUACUGAUUGCGAAGGCGGCUUGCUGGAAGGUAACUGACGCUGAGGCGCGAAAGCGUGGGGAGCAAACAGGAUUAGAUACCCGAGUAGUC